UACGUAGGCAGCGAGCGUUGUUCGGAGUUACUGGGCGUAAAGGGUGUGUAGGCGGUCUUUUAAGUUUGGUGUGAAAUUUCGGAGCUUAACUCCGAAACUGCAUUCGAUACUGGCGUGCUUGAGGACUGGAGAGGAGACUGGAAUUCAUGGUGUAGCAGUGAAAUGCGUAGAGAUCAUGAGGAAGACCAGUGGCGAAGGCGGGUCUCUGGACAGUUCCUGACGCUGAGGCACGAAGGCCAGGGGAGCGAACGGG
rnacentral:rRNA from 1 species